CCAGACUCCUACGGGAGGCAGCAGUGGGGAAUAUUGCACAAUGGGCGAAAGCCUGAUGCAGCGACGCCGCGUGAGUGAAGAAGUAUUUCGGUAUGUAAAGCUCUAUCAGCAGGGAAGAAAAUGACGGUACCUGACUAAGAAGCCCCGGCUAACUACGUGCCAGCAGCCGCGGUAAUACGUAGGGGGCAAGCGUUAUCCGGAUUUACUGGGUGUAAAGGGAGCGUAGACGGCGAAGCAAGUCUGAAGUGAAAACCCAGGGCUCAACCCUGGGACUGCUUUGGAAACUGUUUUGCUAGAGUGUCGGAGAGGUAAGUGGAAUUCCUAGUGUAGCGGUGAAAUGCGUAGAUAUUAGGAGGAACACCAGUGGCGAAGGCGGCUUACUGGACGAUAACUGACGUUGAGGCUCGAAAGCGUGGGGAGCAAACAGGAUUAGAUACCCCAGUA
rnacentral:rRNA from 1 species